rnacentral:rRNA from 1 species
UACGUAGGGUGCAAGCGUUAAUCGGAAUUACUAGGGCGUGAACGUGCGCUAGGCGGUUGUGCAAGACAGAUCGUGAAAUCCCGGGCUUAACCCUGGGAAUUGACAUUUGUGAUCGUGCGAACUGGGCUAGAGUGUGUCAGAGGGGGGUAGAAUUCCACGUGUAGCAGUGAAAUGCGUAGAUAUGUGGAGGAAUACCGAUGGCGAAGGCAGCCCCCUGGGAUAACGACUGACGCUCAUGCACGAAAGCGUGGGGAGCAAACAGG